rnacentral:rRNA from 1 species
GGGUGGAUUAGUGGCGAACGGGUGAGGAACACGGUGAAGAAUCUGCCCUCCACUUUGGGAUAACUCCGGGAAACCGGGGCUAAUACCGAAUAUUGAAACAUAAGUGGCAUCACUGAGUUUUGAAAGAAUUUCGGUGGAGGAUGACUUCGCGGCCUAUCAGCUUGUUGGUGAGGUAAUGGCUCACCAAGGCGACGACGGGUAGCCGGCCUGAGAGGGCGACCGGCCACACUGGGACUGAGACACGGCCCAGACUCCUACGGGAGGCGGCAGUGGGGAAUAUUGGGCAAUGGACGCAAGUCUGACCCAGCGACGCCGCGUGCGGGAUGAAGGCCUUCGGGUUGUAAACCGCUUUCAGCAGGGAAGAAGCGAAAGUGACGGUACCUGCAAAAGAAGCACCGGCUAACUAUGUGCCAGCAGCCGCGGUAAUACAUAGGGUGCAAGCGUUGUCCGGAAUUAUUGGGCGUAAAGAGCUCGUAGGUGGUUAGUUACGUCGGGUGUGAAACUCUGGGGCUCAACCCCAGACCUGCACUCGAUACGGGCUAGCUAGAGUUUGGUAGGGGAGACUGGAAUUCCUGGUGUAGCGGUGGAAUGCGCAGAUAUCAGGAGGAACACCAAUGGCGAAGGCAGGUCUCUGGGCCAAUACUGACA